CGCUCUUCCCGCUCCAUUCCCUCUGCCUGAGAGCCCGCACAUCCUCUGCUUUAAGGUCGGGAAGAAGCCGGGACGAGGGCCGGCUGUUUCCCCGCCACGCCUGUAGGGCUAGGCUCGGCUCCAGGAAAGCAGCCUUGCGGUGCUGAGCAGAGCCGGACGGGUGGGAAACUUCCAGAAGGUUCUUCAGGGCCAGCGGGGCACCCGAGUGCGAAUGCAGCUGUGGUGCAGGGCUGGACAGCACGGAGGCCUUCCCUCAGCUGAGGAAAAAGAAGCUGUCCCUCGGGUGGCAGAAGAGCUUUCCUUCAGGUGACAGCAGCUUUCCCUCAGGGGCUUCACACAGCGAGGCAGUGAUUUGGCAUACGGCACUGCAAGUGGGGAGAAAAGGGCUGUGGUGGGAGACGUGCAGUCAUCGCCCAAGAUUUCCUUUGCUGAACUUACAGCAAAGCUUCAAUGAGGAUUCCAUCCCAUUUUUACUCCAUGAUCCUUCAGGCAGAACAGAUCCUUUAUGAACAGAACCAGUGAACAACAUCAUAUGAGCCUUUCACAGGAUAAAUGGGUUGGACGGGCAAUUUUGGCUUCUUCUAGGAUCAUGCUCUCCAUUCAAAUACACAGCUCAAUUAUAUGACUUCCAUACUGAGAAAAUACUUUAACUUUUAAAAUGCACAGCAGCAGUCUGGUCUUAAUAAAAAUGUUUAAAACCCACUCUUAAACCAUAACUCCAAGUUGCAGCUGAACAUGAAACAUCCUCUUACAAACAAUUACACACAAUUUCUGUCAGGCUUUGGAAGAUACGUAUGUGCACUAGGGAUCUUAAAAAUCAAAACCCCCACAACUCUAGGUUGAAAGGGACUCUAGGUGAAAAAGGGAAAGGCUUAAAACCUUUCAAGGUGUGCUUAGACAGAAAUGCAGUGAGCCCUGUAACUUAACAGCAGGCAUCUGUUUGAAGUACGUGCAGCACGUAGGUGGAACCUUUGGCUUUAUGCAUUAUAGAAUCUCUUGGAAGAACUGCUGCAAUCCAAAACUUGAACAACACAGUCUAUGAAAAUGAUUCAUUCUCAAGGUUCCUCUGUAGAGAAACUCUGUAAGAAAAUUAAGUCUGGGGCAAAAACUGGAUCUUCCAGUAUCACAGUGUCUAUCUGAGGAGGACAAAGGGACAGAAACAAAAUCACUUACAUCUUUAUGCUGUGGUUACUUGUGUUUAAACCAUAGGAACAUCUUACAGUUCAACUAGUUGCACAGCUGGAACAGAGGCAGUUUUUCUCAUGGAUAACAUUAAUACCUGUGCUCAAGGCCAUUCAAUAUAAUUCCUUUUUUGUUAUGGUAUGUUCUGUGAAACACUUACUCAUAGUAUGCAGUUUGGAAAUUAAGGUUUCCAGUGAAGAACUGUUCCCAUUUAACAUGUUCCUGUCUUACUAAAGGCUACUUUUGUAAUUUAGAGAAUAAUGGGUUACAGUCAAGUUCUCAAAGAACAGGAAAUACUAAAUCAAUAGGGAAAUAUGAUGUUCUGUCUUAUGAGUGCAUAUGUGUUCAUAUGCAGUCCUAAUUAGUAUGUUAAUUGGCAGCUGAAGAAAAAUAUUAGAAGUGCUUAAGUAGUAACUUGAUUUACCAUUUUGGUCAGGAUUUCUCCUAGGUCUGCAAUUACAAGCCAGAGUGUUAUGAAAUCAUUUAAACACAACUUAUCUUGUUACAGAGAUUUGUUGUUCUUAUUUCUUCUCAAAUAACAUUUAUCUUCAAUGUAGUGCAUCUAGAUUUAUAACAACUUACCUCCUGUCUUAAGUCUUCCUCUCUGUUUUUGCAUGGAGGUUUUCAGUGCCUUUUGAGCUUGAGGAAAUGAGUGAAAAAGGAAGAAACACUGUCUGGAAGUCUGGUACUCUCCUCUGGUCAGAAUACUACAGUGGGGCAGUAAAUGUAGUUAUGAACGAUCCUCCUGUCUGGAGGAAGGCAAAUCCAUGCCUAAUUGAAAUCUAAAUACAAUUAGAUCUCAUUUGAAAAUGUUAUUUAUACACAGAAGGCUAAAACAGAAAGCAAAAUUGCUGGUGGGAAGGUAAGUUAGUGGCCUACUGGUGAGCAUUAAUACCAGAAGUCUACAUCUACCCGCCUGUCUUCCCACAUUUUUCUGUUCCACUCAAUUAUAAAAAGCCAAUGACCUGCUUGAGAAAUAAAAUAUCAACCAGAUGUUUCCUGAGCAAAGACAACUUGUGUUUCCCUUUACACAUCAUCUUCUGAGAGGCAGAACCAGUGACUGCACAUCUGACAUCAUUCACUGUGUUGACUUUGGGUUACUCAAAAUCUUUCCUUUACUUAACCUUCCAACUCAAAUACAAUAGUUUACAGAGAGCAUAUGGAAAGAAUGGAUUUGAAUGACUAGAAUAUGAUGUGGAAGAAUGGUUUAUAUUCACUCUGCUACAACAAAGCCAUUUGCUGUCACAGUCAUGAAAUAAUAACUCGAAGGGUGGAGGGCUAUCCAUUUUCUCAUACACAUUUUGGCAGGACAAAGUGCUGCACGUUGCCCAGCAUCAAUCCUCAUGGAAACAGGAGGUGGGUGAGCAGUAAUGUCAAAAAUGAACUUUUUUCUUCAUAACAUAGAUAUAGUUUAUACGAGAUCAAAACUUAAUCAGUUAUGAAUAAAGCUAUAUAAUGUUUUUGUCUUCUGCAUCUGAAGACUUCAAAAUACCAGCACUUUUUUUUCUUGUUCAUUUGGACAAGAAGCCACAGCACACAAAGCUGCAACAGCUUUUUCUUCCCUGGCAAUACAGGAUAGGUGAAAUAACCAAUGCUUGAAUAAAUUGAAUGAAGUGCCACUACACAUUUAUACCACUAUGAAAGAGAACGGGGACAUAAAUUCAACAGAAAAUCUGGUGUUAUGUUCAUCUCACUUCACUGCUUAGUGUGAACAAAAGAAAAGCUGUUUCCAGUAGCUACUGUUUAAUUGAAUGUGAAUUUUAAUCUGGAAAGUUGUGUACAGCACAAGAAACUGCCUGUGCAGUGGCUUCUAAUAAGGGUACGUGAGCAAAUGCCAUGUAUUCUGCAGUCCCAGUGUGAGGUCUGUAGGAAAUGAAGUUUUCAGCAAGACUGACAAUGGAACAUUCAGCCCCUUCAGUGCUCAGUCUUAAUGUUUGAGCCCAAUGCAAACAAAUGCAUACUAUGUCUUGCUGACAAGUAGCUGUAAGAAUGACAAGGAAGCAAUCAGGUAUUUAUAAUUACAAAACACUUCCUCUUCUAUUAAAGAAGAAACAAAGUAUGGAAUAGUUGGAGAAAGUGAAGAAAAUUAGCUCAUAUAUGAUUCAUCUCUGUGCAGUUACUCAGCUCACUAGGCAUGUAUUCUCUGCAAAUGUUGGAACUCUACAUUUCAAGGUAUCUUCAAGUUUGCAACAGUUUGUUUUGCUUUUCAGUCUUCUUGAACAAUCAACCCAGCUCCUACGUUGCUUCAGAUAUAUCCCAAUCCUGUUCAAAAGCAACUCUGGUACUGCUGUUACUGCUUUGAAUUCCUACAUAUUUAAGACUGUCAAAAACGCCUUCUGAAGCUCAAGAUAAUUUUUGGUAACACUGCCAAAAAAGGAGAUUUGACAAUUGAUAAUGCUCAAGUAGAACACUGUAUUUUUGACAGAUAAUUCAUUUCUGGAGCUCCAGUAAGUGUAUGGGUAUGAAAACAAUGGAAAGUGAAGGACAAUGAUGUUUCAGUACUAUGCUCCCUUGGUGUCUGUUCUUUAUCUGCUGGAAAAAAAUAAAAACGUUGCAACAACUGAAUUCAGAGUGUACUGAGAGUGGUCUUGUACCCCAAUGUCCAAUUCAGUAACAGUAUCCAAGUCAGACUCUUGAAAAGAAACCUGAACUGCUAAGAAGUUUGCUGUCAGAACACAUGGAAUCCCACUAAUUCUCAUGAAUCCAACUUAUUCUUCAGUAGU